rnacentral:rRNA from 1 species
UAAUACGGAGGGGGUUAGCGUUGUUCGGAAUUACUGGGCGUAAAGCGCGCGUAGGCGGAUUGGAAAGUUGGGGGUGAAAUCCCGGGGCUCAACCCCGGAACUGCCUCCAAAACUGCCAGUCUAGAGUUCGAGAGAAGUGAGUGGAACUCCAAGUGUAGAGGUGAAAUUCGUAGAUAUUUGGAAGAACACCAGUGGCGAAGGCGGCUCACUGGCUCGAUACUGACGCUGAGGUGCGAAAGUGUGGGGAGCAAACAGGAUUAGAUACCCUGGUAGUCCACACCGUAAACGAUGAAUGCCAGUCGUCGGGUAGUAUACUAUUCGGUGACACACCUAACGGAUUAAGCAUUCCGCCUGGGGAGUACGGUCGCAAGAUUA